rnacentral:rRNA from 1 species
AGGGAAUCUUCCGCAAUGGACGAAAGUCUGACGGAGCAACGCCGCGUGAGUGAUGAAGGUUUUCGGAUCGUAAAGCUCUGUUGCCAGGGAAGAACGUCCUGUAGAGUAACUGCUACAGGAGUGGCGGUACCUGAGAAGAAAGCCCCGGCUAACUACGUGCCAGCAGCCGCGGUAAUACGUAGGGGGCAAGCGUUGUCCGGAAUUAUUGGGCGUAAAGCGCGCGCAGGCGGCUGUUAAGUCUGGUGUUUAAUCCUGGGGCUCAACCCCGGGUCGCACUGGAAACUGGGCAGCUUGAGUGCAGAAGAGGAGAGUGGAAUUCCACGUGUAGCGGUGAAAUGCGUAGAGAUGUGGAGGAACACCAGUGGCGAAGGCGACUCUCUGGUCUGUAACUGACGCUGAGGCGCGAAAGCGUGGGGAGCAAAC